UGGGCGUAAGGGUGCGCGGGUGGGUUGGCAAGUUUGAUGUGAAAGCCCCGGGCUUAACCCGGGAAUGGCAUUGAAUACUGCUGAUCUGGAGGAUCGGAGGGGGGACUGGAAUUCUUGGUGUAGCAGUGAAAUGCGUAGAUAUCAAGAGGAACACCAGUGGCGAAGGCGAGUCCCUGGACGAUACCUGACACUGAGGCACGAAAGCCAAGGGAGCAAACAGGAUUAGAUACCCUGGUAGUCUUGGCUGUAAACGGUGCGCAUUUGCUGUAAACGGAAUCGACCCCGUUUGUGGCGAAGCUAACGCGAUAAAUGCGCCGCCUGGGAAGUACGGUCGCAAGAUUAAAACUCAAAGAAAUUGACGGGGGCCUGCACAAGCGGUGGAGUAUGUGGCUUAAUUCGAUGCAACGCGAAGAACCUUACCUGGCCUUGACAUGCAAGUGGUAGAACCAUGAAAGUGGGACGACCCCGCAAGGGGAGCUUGCACAGGUGCUGCAUGGCUGUCGUCAGCUCGUGUCGUGAGAUGUUGGGUUAAGUCCCGCAACGAGCGCAACCCUUGUGUCCUGUUGCCACUCCCUCGAGAGAGGGAAGCGCUCUGGACAGACUGCCUCGCUUAAACGAGGAGGAAGGUGGGGAUGACGUCAAGUCAGUAUGGCCCUUACGGCCAGGGCUGCACACGUACUACAAUGCAUGGCACAAAGGGAAGCUAGACCGUCAGGUGGAGCAAAUCCCAUAAAACCAUGCCCAGUUCAGAUUGUCGUCUGCAACUCGACGACAUGAAGCCGGAAUCGCUAGUAAUGGCGCAUCAGCUACGGCGCCGUGAAUACGUUCCCAGGCCUUGUACACACCGCCCGUCACAUCAUGAAAGCCGGUUGUACCCGAAGUCAUCGCUGUUAACUCGCAAGAGAGACAG
rnacentral:rRNA from 1 species